rnacentral:lncRNA from 1 species
GUUAUUUCAAAUCUUUGCAUAACAGGAAUGCACAAAAACCUAGAUAAGACCAAAGAGGUUCUCUCAAUUUUUGCUUCGACUGUGGGUGCUGAGAUUAAUUGGACUAAAUCCCAUGCCAUAUGGGACUCAAAAACGCCCCAAUCUUUUACUUGGGGGGGGGGGGGAUUGUACAAUUGUGUUGGCUAGCCCCAGGUGAGAUGACAAGAUACUUAGGUUUUUCUUUGGGCUUCAAAGACAUCUCCAGAAGCUUGCUUUGAAGCCACUUUGAAAAAUCUGAAAAAGAAGCUAGCUUACUGGGCCGCAACCAAACUUUCUUUAGCCAGUCAAAUACUGAUCGCCAAUCAAGUAUUGUUGGCUUCGAUGUGGUGCAUCGCAUCAUGUUGGAGUCCCUCCCAUCCCACAGUC